AUAAACGUUUUCUAGGGUUCCGCAGCAUGGUGGCUGGUCUGGUCCGAGAGAAAACUCACAGCUAAGGCUGUGCCACGGAGGGAUAAAAGCCUGGGAGAG
rnacentral:sRNA from 2 species